AACGAACGCUGGCGGCAUGCCUAACACAUGCAAGUCGAACGAGACCUUCGGGUCUAGUGGCGCACGGGUGCGUAACGCGUGGGAACCUGCCCUUAGGUUCGGAAUAACUCCCCGAAAGGGGUGCUAAUACCGGAUAAUCUCUUCGGACCAAAGAUUUAUCGCCUUUGGGUGGGCCCGCGUUGGAUUAGCUAGUUGGUAGGGUAAAAGCCUACCAAGGCGACGAUCCAUAGCUGGUCUGAGAGGAUGAUCAGCCACACUGGGACUGAGACACGGCCCAGACUCCUACGGGAGGCAGCAGUGGGGAAUAUUGGACAAGGGGCGAAAGCCUGAUCCAGCAAUGCCGCGUGAGUGAUGAAGGCCUUAGGGUUGUAAAGCUCUUUUACCCGGGAUGAUAAUGACAGUACCGGGAGAAUAAGCUCCGGCUAACUCCGUG
rnacentral:rRNA from 1 species